UGAUAGUUCGUUCAUGGAUGUCUUUCAAUUGCAUGUAUGGUACUUGAACUUCUAAUUAUCUUUUGAUGUCAACUGAUGAUAAUAGUGUAAAGUAGUAGGUUUCUAAUUUUUGUUAGAUUUUGAAGGUCAGUAAGAGAAAAAUUAAAACAAAUGCUAGUUGACAUGAUGUGCACAGUAGUAGGUUUCUAAUUAAAUGGUGGAGACUUAAAAUCAAAGACAGUUUUUUAAAUCGGCCACCUAUAAGUCGGAUCUUUAACCGAUUUAAAAAGUCAUUUUUAC
rnacentral:lncRNA from 1 species